UACAGAGGGUGCGAGCGUUAAUCGGAAUUACUGGGCGUAAAGCGUGCGUAGACGGUAGCGUAAGUCGGGUGUGAAAGCCCCGGGCUCAACCUGGGAAUUGCAUUCGAGACUGCUCUGCUAGGGUGCGGAAGAGGGAAGCGGAAUUUCCGGUGUAGCGGUGAAAUGCGUAGAUAUCGGAAGGAGCACCAGUGGCGAAAGCGGCUUCCUGGUCCAGCACCGACGUUCAGGCACGAAAGCGUGGGGAGCAAACAGG
rnacentral:rRNA from 1 species